GCCCAGAGUACCUAUUGCCAGGUCACACAGGUUCUGUUCCUCUGUUCUCAUGGGGUUCAUUUCCUACCUCUGUGGCCUGGUCACUGCCCCACAGAGGCACUUCUUAAACAUUUCUUUCUCCUGGCAUUAAUGCAUGGUUUGGUAGAAAAGGCAUGGAUAAUAUUAUUGAUGGUAAUCUUUCAGCGAUUGUACUCUAUAAUGAUGUUUUGAGGACCAAGUAAUGCUAAAAUCAAUAAAGUCGGGGUGACGGGUACACUCCUGCUAUGAAGCCAUCCUGGGCUACAUAGGAAAUACUAGUCCACUCUGGGUUAUGAGGUGCUGUCUCUAAAAACAUAAUUACAUACACAAAUAUAUAUCUAAAUCUUCCUCUGAUAGAGACAGGAAUCUCUCAGAGAAGCUAUAUCCUGGCUAAAGACACAUGAGUUGCCUUACCCCCUGGGGAAGAAAUAGAUUACUACCAGGGGAGUUCCUUGAGAGGGCUGGCUGUGGGGCCUGCACUUGGUCAUUUCUUCACAACUCUUUUUUAUUUUCCUCAGGUACCAUAGGCGAGGAGGUUAUGACUUGGAAAGUGAGGAGAAAGUGAAGUUGGGCAUGGCUAGCUCCCACUGAGGAGGAUCUGAGCUCAAGGAGCCUUCAGAGGAUGGCUACUUCUGAGAUGGCGGUUCCUUACAAGUUCUACAGAGGGAAAAUACUUCACCAGCAGCCAUGAAGACUUCUUCAUUCAUUCCCAGUUGCUACCCUGACUGGGCCUCCUGUAAUUGCUCUGCAAAAAUAUCAGAGCCUCUAAGUGCCAAACAGACUAUGCCCCGCUGGGAUCUGGAUCAGAAGAAAGCAGGAGCAAGUGAGCCCUUCAGGCCUUCCUGAUCCUCCACCACUGAACCCACUGGUUUGUUUAAACACUUAGCUUCUGGAUUAAAGUGUCAGCUAGUUUCCAUAUGCUCCAGGAUUUUUGGCUGAAAAAAAAAAAAGAAGAGAGGACGGAUGAGUGGUUUAUGGACUGGAAGAGAUCAACAGAGUUGAGAAGCUAAGUGUUCAAGUAGCCACAGGGGAUCUGCUGUUUGGACCCUCCAGCACGCUGGAUUUGAUGAGCUAACUGUGAAAUAUCUCAAGCCCGAGAACUCUUGAGUUUUGGGACUUCUACCCAGAGGGGAAAAAUAACAAGUAUUUUGUUGUUGUUGUUGUUUGUUUGUUUUUAAAAUGCCUCUUAAAUUAUAUAUUUAUUUUAUUCUAUGUAUGUUAAUAUAUUUAGUUUUUAACAAUCUAACAAUAAUAUUUCAAGUGCCUAGACUGUUACUUUGCCAAUGUCCUGGCCCGCCUCUCUUGCAGCUCUUCCACCUGGCUCAAUGCCACACUCCCAUCUGCUCUGUAACCCAUCUGUAGUAAUUUAUUGUCUGUCUACAUUUCAGAAGAUGCCCCUGUAGCAGAGUAUCCCAGGGUGGGUUGUGUAUGGUCGGAGUGCAAGGAUGGAUUUGGGCAGAGCCACUCUGUGAGUUGGACUGCAG
rnacentral:lncRNA from 1 species